GUUUGGAAUAAUAUAAAAUUUAUAUACAGAACAAUUUAGAAUGAACAAAUGAAUGAAAAACAUUAAUUUAUAUACAGAACAAUUUAGAAUGAACAACUUAUACCAGAACAAAUGAACAAUUCCAGUCACUGCAAACCACCAUAACCAAGGAGAAAUCAAACUCAGAAAAAAAUAAUAACAGAUCUAUAGUGAUGCUGUAUUGUCGCCACAACAAAUGAACAGAUUAAGAUCUCUAUAAAUCUGCAGUGUCACUACUUCGAAGUGACAAUAAGAACCCAGCGACUCAAUGGCUGCGCGUGGUGAGUAUGUUGGCGCUUCAACGAUUGUGGGUGGGGGUAUGGUGACACCACACGAUGCAGUUGGUGGAUUACUAUGGUAGCACCGUGAGAUGCGGUUGGCGGAUUAUGGCUGCUAUGGGUAUGGUUUGAGUGUGGGUAAUGAUGAAUUUAUAAGAUUGCGAUUAGGGAUAAUAUGGUGUCGGAGUUUGGUGUGUGGUGGUGUUAUGGGGUACUAUGGUGGUUGUUUUACAGUUGCUGUAGUGUGUGGUGGUGUUGUGGUUAUUGUUAUGGUGGUUUUGCAUUGUUGUGAUAAGUGGUGGUGGUUUUGCACGCUGUGGUGAGAUAGUUGUAAUGUUAGUGGGGGUCAUAGCGACAGUGACGACGGUGCAAUUGUCGUGGGUAGGUGUGGGAGGCGAAGGGAUGGGAUGAGAUUGGAUGGGG
rnacentral:lncRNA from 1 species